GGUGGAGUUAGUGGAACCGAAAAAGAUGUCUCCCUCACAGUGUUUGUGACAAAAGAAUUGCAUCGUUCCUUGGCGGCCUUUCAACAGAAGAAUAUUCAGAGAUUUCACGAGUGAUUCUGAUGUUGGUUCCUGGAAAGCCUCCAUUGUUGGAGGACGAGAAGCCGUAUCCAAUUGAAGCAGCACAGGCUUCUGCGAUGACUGUGGAAACCACUGCUUAUGCCUUGCUUCAAGCGUUGUCAAGGAAUGAUAUUGACUAUGCAACACCGAUUGCGAGGUGGCUAACGAUGCAACAGAACUAUGGUGGUGGAUUUCACUCGACGCAGGACACAAUCAUUGCCUUGGAAGCUUCAUCAUGAUAUGACAUUGCAUUUCUGAAGAGGGAAGAAGAAAUCAACAUGCAAAUUCAAUUCCAUGGUUUUGGAAGUCCCAUUGAGAACACGAUUCAUGUGCGCUGGCAUAAUGCUCUGACCGAGAAAGAAUCGAAGCUUCCGCUUGGAAGAAAGAUUCACAUCAAGUUGACUGGUCAAGUAAAUGGGACACUGACUAACCAUACAAUUAGACUGUUUUGAUGAGGAACUUCAAGAUUACGAGUCCCGUCCGUUUGACUCAGAGUUUGGUACCAUAGGUUGGUACGAUCUUCGUUGGAGAAGGAAAAGGGAUGUUCCAGAUACAGAAAAUAGUCAAACCAUUUACUACAAAGUCCGUUUCUGGGUGGAGUUAGUGGAACCGAAAAAGAUGUCUCCCUCACAGCGUUUGUGACAAGAGAAUUGCAUUGUUCCUUGGCGGCCUUUCAACAGAAGAAUAUUCAGAGAUUUCACGAGUGAUUCUGAUGUUGGUUCCUGGAAAGCCUCCAUUGUUGGAGGACGAGAAGCCGUAUCCAAUUGAAGCAGCACAGGCUUCUGCGAUGACUGUGGAAACCACUGCUUAUGCCUUGCUUCAAGCGUUGUCAAGGAAUGAUAUUGACUAUGCAACACCGAUUGCGAGGUGGCUAACGAUGCAACAGAACUAUGGUGGUGGAUUUCACUCGACGCAGGACACAAUCAUUGCCUUGGAAGCUUCAUCAUGAUAUGACAUUGCAUUUCUGAAGAGGGAAGAAGAAAUCAACAUGCAAAUUCAAUUCCAUGGUUUUGGAAGUCCCAUUGAGAACACGAUUCAUGUGCGCUGGCAUAAUGCUCUGACCGAGAAAGAAUCGAAGCUUCCGCUUGGAAGAAAGAUUCACAUCAAGUUGACUGGUCAAGUAAAUGGGACACUGACUAACCAUACAAUUAGACUGUUUUGAUGAGGAACUUAAAGAUUACGAGUCCCGUCCGUUUGACUCAGAGUUUGGUACCAUAGGUUGGUACGAUCUUCGUUGGAGAAGGAAAAGGGAUGUUCCAGAUACAGAAAAUAGUCAAACCAUUUACUACAAAGUCCGUUUCUGGGUGGAGUUAGUGGAACCGAAAAAGAUGUCUCCCUCACAGCGUUUGUGACAAAAGAAUUGCAUUGUUCCUUGGCGGCCUUUCAACAGAAGAAUAUUCAGAGAUUUCA